rnacentral:RNase_P_RNA from 1 species
CGAGACGGUUGGACGGUCGCGUUGCUGGAACCAGUCGGGCUUCGCCCGUCAAGGCCUGCACCGAGGAACGUCCGGGCUUCGCAGGGCAAGGUGGUGGCUAACGGCCACCCGGGGCAACCCGCGGGACAGUGCCACAGAAAACAGACCGCCUGCCUUCGCUUCGGCGGCGGCAGGUAAGGGUGAAACGGCGGUGUAAGAGACCACCAGCGCCCCCGGUGACGGAGGCGGCUCGGUAAACCCCACCUGAAGCAAGGUCAGACAGCACGCGCUAGAGGGCGGCCCGCCCGAUGCGUGCGGGUAGACCGCUUGAGCCUCGCGGCAACGCGAGGCCUAGAUAGAUGACCGUCACUCGCGGCCCGGCAACAGGCCACGAGCACAAAACCCGGCGUAUAGGCCGUCUCGUCCG